rnacentral:rRNA from 1 species
AGAUUGAACGCUGGCGGCAUGCUUUACACAUGCAAGUCGAACGGCAGCGCGGGGCAACCUGGCGGCGAGUGGCGAACGGGUGAGUAAUAUAUCGGAACGUACCCAAGAGUGGGGGAUAACGUAGCGAAAGUUACGCUAAUACCGCAUACGAUCUAAGGAUGAAAGCAGGGGACCGCAAGGCCUUGUGCUCCUGGAGCGGCCGAUAUCUGAUUAGCUAGUUGGUAGGGUAAAGGCCUACCAAGGCUACGAUCAGUAGCUGGUCUGAGAGGACGACCAGCCACACUGGAACUGAGACACGGUCCAGACUCCUACGGGAGGCAGCAGUGGGAAUUUUGGACAAUGGGCGCAAGCCUGAAUCCAGCAAUGCCGCGUGAGUGAAGAAGGCCUGGUUGUAAGCUACUUUGUUCAGGAAGAAACGGUAGGGGACGUAAGUAAUACCUCCAACUAAAUGUAACGGUACCUAGAAAGAAUAAGACACCGACUAACUACGUAGCCGACGACACGACGCGUUAACG